CAGCAGCCGCGGUAACACGGAGGGGGCUAGCGUUGUUCGGAAUUACUGGGCGUAAAGCGCACGUAGGCGGCUUGGUAAGUUAGAGGUGAAAGCCCGGAGCUCAACUCCGGAAUUGCCUUUAAGACUGCCGAGCUAGCAGGUGAGAGAGGUAAGUGGAAUUCCGAGUGUAGAGGUGAAAUUCGUAGAUAUUCGGAAGAACACCAGUGGCGAAGGCGGCUUACUGGCUCAUACUGGACGCUGAGGUGCGAAAGCGUGGGGAGCAAACAGGAUUAGAUACCCCAGUAGUCCCUGUCUCUUAUAC
rnacentral:rRNA from 1 species